rnacentral:snoRNA from 1 species
ACCCUCCAGACUCCUUACCCCUUGGUUCUAAACAUUGAUCUAAGUGGCUGAAAAAGAAGGGAAAGUAAAACUGAAAUUUUCAAAAAUAU